AGUGAACGCUGGCGGCGUGCUUAACACAUGCAAGUCGAACGAGAACGGGAUAUAGCUUGCUAUAUUUGUCAGCUAAGUGGCGCACGGGUGAGUAAUGUAUAGAUAACCUGCCCUCUAGAAAGGAAUAACAGUUGGAAACGACUGCUAAUGCCCUAUAUGCCUUUAAUACAUAAGUAUGCAAGGGAAACGCUUUAGUGCUAGAGGAUGGGUCUGUAUGGUAUCAGCUUGUUGGUGAGGUAAUGGCUCACCAAGGCUAUGACGCCUAACUGGUUUGCGAGGAUGAUCAAUCACACUGGAACUGAGACACGGUCCAGACUCCUACGGGAGGCAGCAGUGGGGAAUAUUGCACAAUGGACGAAAGUCUGAUGCAGCAACGCCGCGUGGAGGAUGACACAUUUCGGUGCGUAAACUCCUUUUAUAUAGGAAGAUAAUGACGGUACUAUAUGAAUAAGCACCGGCUAACUCCGUGCCAGCCGCCGCCGUAAAAC
rnacentral:rRNA from 1 species